rnacentral:rRNA from 1 species
CAAGAAUACUAGCAGGAUACGAAUGGUUAGAUCAGUAUCAAUAGAUAAUGAGACAGUGGGCAUAGAUUAUUCAGAGUGAUCUGAUUGUAAAGCUACGAUGGAAAGCAUUGCAAGAGUUUCAUUACAGACGAAGAUAGGGAUCAAAACAAUCAGAUACGUUGUAGUCAAUCAUGACUAGCCGGCUAGGAUGGAAUGGGAUAUACAUUCAGUCCUUAUGAGAAUCAAAGUCUUGGGUCUGGGGGAGUAUGUUGCAAGCUGAAAUAAAGAAAUGGCGGAAGGGGGCGCAGGAGUGAGCUGCGCUAAUUUGACUCAACAAGGAGAGAGAAGAACCAGGUCCAGACAUAGUAAGGAUUGACAGAUUGUAGCUCUUGGUGUUCCCCCUGCGUGCGUGCCGUUCUUAGUUGGUGAGUGAUUGUCUGGCUAAUUCCGAUAACGAACGAGACCUUAACCUGCUAACUAGUCUUUUCUAUUCCGAUAGACAUUGACUUCUUAGAGGGACUAAGAGUAAAACAAUGAAUGGAAGUUUGAGGCAAUAACAGGUCUGUGAUGCCCUUAUAUGUCCUGGGCUGCACGCGUGCUACACUGAUGCAUACAACAAGUCCCAAGCCAGUCAUGGCAUGGUAAUCUCUAAUAUGCAUCGUGAUGGGGAUUGAUCUAUGCAAUUAUAGAUCAUGAACGAGGAAUUCCUAGUAAGUGCAAGUCAUCAUCAUGCAUUGAUUAUGUCCCUGCCCUUGUACACACCGCCCGUCGCUCCUACCGAUA